CAGUCGCCGCGGUAAUACGUAGGGUGCAAGCGUUAAUCGGAAUUACUGGGCGUAAAGCGUGCGCAGGCGGUUAUAUAAGACAGAUGUGAAAUCCCCGGGCUCAACCUGGGAACUGCAUUUGUGACUGUAUAGCUAGAGUACGGCAGAGGGGGAUGGAAUUCCGCGUGUAGCAGUGAAAUGCGUAGAUAUGCGGAGGAACACCGAUGGCGAAGGCAAUACCCUGGGCCUGUACUGACGCUCAUGCACGAAAGCGUGGGGAGCAAACAGGAUUAGAUACCCCCGUAGUCCCUGUCUCUUAUAC
rnacentral:rRNA from 1 species